rnacentral:rRNA from 1 species
AUUGAACGCUGGCGGCAGGCUUAACACAUGCAAGUCGAGCGAGCGGCGGACGGGUGAGUAAUGUCUGGGACACUGCCUGAUGGAGGGGGAUAACUACUGGAAACGGUCGCUAAUCCCGCAUACCAUCAGAUGUGCCCAGAUGGGAUGAGCUAGUAGGGGGGGUAAUGGCUCACCUAGGCGACGAUCUCUAGCUGGUCUGAGAGGAUGACCGGCCACACUGGAACUGAGACACGGUCCAUACUCCUACGGGAGGCAGCAGUGGGGAAUAUUGUACAAUGGGCGCAAGCCUGAUGCAGCCAGGCCGCGUGUAUGAAGAAGGCCUUCGGGUUGUAAAGCACUUUCAGCGAGGAGGCGUUACUCGCAGAAGAAGCACCGGCUAACUCCGUGCCAGCAGCCGCGGUAAUUC